AAAAUGUUCGUAAUGAACGGAUCUUCGAUGGUCGAGCCUGCCAAGGACACGGAACCCAGCACCACCUACCCGAGCCAAGGUACUCAACCUUUGGAAAGGGUCUUUAAUGUGAAUUGCGAACAACCCACAAGGGUGGUAUGAUUGAAACAUAGUUUGAAUAGGGGCACAAGUCUAGAGCUGUGGUAUGGAAAAUAGAUGAGAAAAAAAAACCUCAUCUCUUUACUUAGUCAGAGUCAUUGUUUUACUCUUUCUAUCUGCAUGACUGCUUUCUUAUGAUGAGUAGUGCCCAUCACUUGCCUCUCUGUGCCCUGUAUGAAGGAGCAUCCACUGCGCUUACUAGUGGGUCGGGGGUAAGGUGCAAGCAUAUAGGUCAGAAGACGAGUUAGAGCAGGAAGUGGUAGUCCGGUAAAAGUAAUAAGAGUAUUGAGGCCAUUGGUGUUUUCAUUGGUCAGCAAGAGUAGGUCUGCCGAAUUUCAAGUAAUACGUAAUGAGAAAAGAUACGUCUAUUUGAGUGAAUGAGUUGAUAAACGAAAUGAGCGAAGCAGCUCCUAUGAGUGAAAGCUAGAAAUGCUUAGACUUGUUAAUGCGCUGACCUGUUCAUACUAUCGAAAUAGGUUCGAGAUUCACUCUAUCACCAGGUACCCCAUCCGGCCGGCUUAGACUGAGGGUAAGACGAGAUCCUACGUUUUGUAUCUUUAGCAUCCCAAUUACGUCCAGCCUUACUAUAAAGAAUAAAGAUAGACCCUGGGAACUUCCAAGUGAAAUGAGUUCGAGAUUCACUCUAUCACCAGGUACCCCAUCCGGC
rnacentral:lncRNA from 1 species